CAAGCAAUGAAUGGGUUCCAAAUAGGCAUGAAGCGCCUUAAGGUGCAAUUAAAACGUUCCAAAGAAGCCAGUAAACCUUAUUAAGGGUGUCCACUAUAGCUGAUCCCCAUGCCUGCACACCUGAUGGAUAAAUAGAAUACAUUAAUAGAGAAUCUUAAAGAAAAUUUAGAAAUCUAAAAUCGAGAUAUGAAAAAAUAAUAAUUUUUUAAAAUAUAUCGGGAAGUUCUCAUUAACUUAGAGGGUUCCCCAUGAAGAUACGAAGGAAAACAUAUCCAAUAAAUUAAACACUCUACAACUCCAAUAAAAUAACCAAGUUUAUUUCACAGUUCUUAAGUUCAGUUCAAGAUACACUACUAUCACAAAUGCCAUAAAUCUCUGACGACUUUCCCAAGCUCACUCCUUGUGACAUACAACCUGAGAACAGAGGAGAAAUUCACACUUUGGUACAUUUCAGGACCCACUUUCAACACGUUUUUUUCUCCCACUUGACAACUAAAAAGUGCCAUUUCUAUCCUAUAUAUUUGUGCAAGUGUUCUUAUAGAUCUAGUCCCUCCAACAUCAUCAGGCCCUUGGGGCUUGAAUUCUAUCACUCAAUCAUCCCAACCCUGACAAACCCAUUCAGAUAGAUGAAAGGUCAAUGAUGAACCAAAACAUAGUCUUAACAUUACAAAUAUAUAUAUAUAUAUUAUAUAUCACUAAAAUUAAUUUAUUGUAUAAAAAGGAUUCUUAUCAUUUUGCUUAUCUUCUUAAAACUUGUAAGAUAUAUUUAGAAAUAGAUAAUUUUUUAUUAAGUUUGUUUAACUGUUAAGAGAAAUGUUCUUAAAAGGUUAAGUAGAUAAAUAGUAAUUUUUAAAAGAAAUUUAUUUAAAAAUUGUUUCUUAAUCUGUAACACCCAUUACCUUUUAGUAAAUUUUAAUUAUUUUAUAUUAAAUUAUAGUAAUGGAAUAUAUUAAUGGAGGUGUGUUAAAAUCAAAACAUUUUUUAAUUAUAUUGAAAAAUAUUUAAAACUUUUAUUACAGGAACCAAAACUAAUUUUCAGGAAUAAGUCGUCAUGCUCUGAAUCUUUAUUUUCUUCUUUUAUUAUUAAUAAUUUUAUUUUCUAUUUUAAUGUAUCAAAUAUAACAAAAUUUA